CAAGCAUCCAAAUCUCUCGCCAAACCCUAAAACCAAAGAAAAAAGUAAUAAGCCUUCUAUAUAAGCAGCGGCAACAUCAUAGAAGCAAAUUCUGGCGGCCAGCGGAAACCCUAAUUUCCCGAAAGAAGAAAUGGCGGUUCCACUUUUAAGUAAGAAGAUCGUGAAGAAGAGGGUCAAGAAGUUCAAGAGACCCCAAAGUGACCGCAAAAUCUCCGUCAAGACGAACUGGCGUAGACCAAAGGGUAUUGAUUCUCGUGUUUGAAGGAAGUUUAAGGGAUGCACUUUGAUACCCAACAUUGGUUAUGGUUCAGACAAGAAGACACGUCACUAUCUUCCGAAUGGUUUCAAGAAAUUUGUCGUGCACAAUGUUGGAGAGCUUGAACUGUUGAUGCAAAACAGGCACCGUUAACUUACCAAGA